AGGUGCCCUUCAAUAGAUGAAUGGAUAAAGAAAAUGUGGUAUAUAUACACAAUGGAAUAUUACUCCACUUCAAGAAGAAUGAAAUUAUGGCAUUUGCUGCCUGCUACAAGUCUGUCUCCCCUUCAUCCCACUUUGCCAUCUGCCAAACUCUUAGGCUCUGAGAAUGAGAAAUUCACUCUGUUGGCCAACUGAUAUCUACCAAUACAUCACCAGGAGAAACAUCAUGAGUUACAGAUCUCAUCUAGAAAAAGAGGUCUCUUACAGGUAUCAAGAGCUUUGCUCCUCAAGUCCACGUAGCAUAGACAGGAAAUACCAGGCAGCGGCGGAAACAGAGCUGUUGGAAAUAGCAGGCUGGAUGACUAACCUAGGAAGGGUACGUUAGCUCUCCGUUAGCUGAUCGCCUGCAGAGGAGCAGAGAGGAAUUCCUGCUGGACUCCCCGCUCUGGUCCACCCUGGCUUCGUUUUCCAUCUCUGGAUCCUUCCAGCCAUGCAAACAUACACAACAUCACCAUGGAGACUCAGACAGACACAGGCAUGAGAGGAAAGCACGAGGCAAAUCUCUCCUCUGAUGCUUUGUUAGGAGGGGAAGGACAAUUUUAACAGCUUUGGAAAUCACCCUGUUUCAUUCCCUGAUCCUCAAGAGCAGUUACCUCACUCAAAAACAUAGUAUUGUUCUACCUUUGCUUCUGCUCUGCUGGCCACAGCGAACUAAAGCUACAGAAGAUCUGACAAAGAAGACACUCCAGGAUGAGCCCAGUCUUGUACCCCCAAACCCACCCUUAAAAUGGUUUGCCAGUUGUUAGGUGGGGAAGUACAUCAACAGACGAUCUUGGCUGUCCACACUGGAUUAAUAAACUCUGUUUUUGCUUUGUGAGUUUCUGAUGCUGGUUUUACCUGUGUAUUCCUACCUUAGUUCAGCUGCCAUCUCACACUGGGGUCAUAGAGACAGAAUCCCUAAAGUUUCUUCUCUCCACCCUCCUCACUGAGAUAGACUAAUUUUUCCAGAGUUGUUCUUGAGGAAUCUGGUCAUGGCCAUGUCACACUGGAUUCUGGAUCACUUCCAGCCUUUUUCUUGCUCCUGGGUGGAAGCAAGUUUAAAUGAAUAAGGAGCAGGCACAGAAAGAACAAACAGCUGCUGUCUGAAGAAAUGUGUAGCCAAAGAGAAACGAUGGUAGAGAUGGUGGUGGAUGUGAAAGGCUGAUGGGAGGUCCUUCAUUUAUCAGCUUCGCCAUACAGCAGGGAGUGUCCUGAAUGUUGAUUGUGAUCACCUGAUGCCAAGAAAGCAUUUGAGGCUGUACUUUGGGUCGAUAAUACAGACUGUGGGUGGACAAUUAAUUACCAAUGCCAACAUUUAAUUCAGCAGAAGCCCUGUUUGGAGGAACAGUGCAUCUGAAUGAGUGAACUUUCAUCAUGUCACCUUGUGUUUAGAAGGAGGACCUCAUUGUCGUCAUCAAGCCCAAAGCUCCCCGCUCCCUCCUGGAAAUCGAAUCCAGGGCCUGGGCAAGCUAGAAGCUAGGGGAAUGCGAUGUUACAGAGCUACACCUCCAGCUUCAAGCUUCAAGUUCUCUGUCUGGCUUGUUUUUGGAUUUACUUGGACCUGGAUCAGAUUAACUUAAGAUCUGACUUCUCAGUACACCCUUUCUAUGCAGCUCUGCAUAGCAACUUUCUAGUCCUUGAGGGUAGCAUACAACUUUCUGCUUCCAUGUCUUCAAGGUCUUUUCCUCUUCCUCCUGCUUCCUGAAAUUACUUGCUGUAAAGUUCAGGACCAUCUCUUCUGAAAGCCCUGCAGACAGUUUUGCCCUCUGUGGUCUCUCUUCUUCCUUUGUUUAGCACUUUUCUCUGUACUUUGUACAUUGCAGAUUGGCACAUGAGUCUUCUCUCCUAGCUUCCUGUUAGAUUUAUCCUGGGCAUAGGUGGAGCUCUGGGACAGAGACUGUGUUCUGCCCUGACUGCAUCACUGUAGACAGGAGCAGACCCCUGAGAAGACCUAAAAGUCAGCUUUCUUCUGCAAUCUCGUAGUGUAGCACACUCUUAGUUGCUUGUACUAUAGGUUAUGCUUUUUAUAUCAUAUCUAAGGAAUUGUCUAAUUCAUGGUCACAGAUUUACUCUUAUAUUUUCUCCUGGAAGUAGCAUUUAGUUUUUAGCCUCUGAAUUACUUAAAGUUUUUAUAAGGUGUGAGGUAAGGAUCAAGAUUCAAUUUUCCUUUUUUUUUUUUUUUUUGCAUAGGGAUAAUCAAUUAUUCUAGCACCAUAUUUUGAAAUAACUCAGAAUUUGGACUAGUGUUAAAGACCUUUAUGGAUUUGCUAUAGGAGGAUUCAGAAUCACUUGUAGUACGUGUAAACUUUUGUAUAUAUUUGCACUUGUGACUUGGGAAUGGAAGGGUGGAACAGGAGACGACCCACAAGUUUUCACCAGAUUAUGGAAGGGACCCUGUCUCCCAAGAAGGUCAAGUGUCACAAUUCUAUUGUAACAAAACCAUCUUCCUUACCUCUCAGAAGAGGAAUAAACGAUAUCAAAGACUA